AACCUUUACACUGCACGACAGUGCGAUAGGGGGACUCCGAGUGUGAGGGCAUAUAGCCCUCGCUUUUCUGUACCGUAAGGUGGUACAGGAACAAGGACUGGGCAAGACCGGUGCCAGCCGCCGCGGUAAUACCGGCAGUCCGAGUGAUGGCCGAUAUUAUUGGGCCUAAAGCGUCCGUAGCUUGCUGUGUAAGUCCAUUGGGAAAUCGACCAGCUCAACUGGUCGGCGUCCGGUGGAAACUACACAGCUUGGGGCCGAGAGACUCAACGGGUACGUCCGGGGUAGGAGUGAAAUCCUGUAAUCCUGGACGGACCACCAAUGGGGAAACCACGUUGAGAGACCGGACCCGACAGUGAGGGACGAAAGCCAGGGUCUCGAACCGGAUUAGAUACCCGGGUAGUCCUGGCUGUAAACAAUGCUCGCUAGGUAUGUCACGCGCCAUGAGCACGUGAUGUGCCGUAGUGAAGACGAUAAGCGAGCCGCCUGGGAAGUACGUCCGCAAGGAUGAAACUUAG
rnacentral:rRNA from 1 species